GACUAAUCAGCUAUGUGUGGAGACCCUUCU
rnacentral:piRNA from 1 species